GAGCCCACUUCCUAUCAGACUGCCAUGACUCUGCCUGAAUGGCAGCUUGCGAUGGCCGAAGAGCUUGCUGCCCUUGAGCGCUCUGGCACAUGGGAUCUGGUUUCCCUCCCUUCCGGUGUUCGUCCCAUCACCUGCAAGUGGGUCUACAAGAUUAAGACUCGCUCUGAUGGUUCUCUUGAGCGCUACAAAGCGCGUCUUGUGGCCCGUGGUUUUCAGCAGGAGCAGGGACGCGAUUAUGAUGAGACAUUCGCUCCUGUGGCCCACAUGACCACUGUUCGCACUCUUCUUGCUGUGGCUUCUGUUCGUCAUUGGUCUAUCUCUCAACUUGAG
rnacentral:rRNA from 1 species